ACGUCCACAGUUGCCAGCAGUACCCUCCGGGGGUGAUGGGUACGACUGGUGGAGACCGCCGCUGCUAAAGCGGAGGAAGGAAUGGGCAACGGUAGGUCAGUAUGCCCCGAAUCUCCCGGGCUACACGCGGGCUACAAUGGUUGGUACAAUGGGCAUCUACCCCGAAAGGGGAAGGAAAUCUCUUAAAGCCAAUCGUAGUUCGGAUUGAGGGCUGCAACUCGCCCUCAUGAAGCUGGAAUCCGUAGUAAUCGCGUUUCAACAGAACGCGGUGAAUACGUCCCUGCUCCUU
rnacentral:rRNA from 1 species